rnacentral:rRNA from 1 species
AACGAACGCUGGCGGCAGGCCUAACACAUGCAAGUCGAACGAACCGUUUACGGUGAGUGGCCCACGGGUGAGUAACACGUGGGAAUAUACAUUUCGGUAAGGAAUAACGUAGAGAAAUUUACGCUAAUACCUUAUAAUGACUACGGUCCAAAGAUUUAUCGCCGAAGGAUUAGCCCGCGUUAGAUUAGGUAGUUGGUAGGGUAAUGGCCUACCAAGCCUACGAUCUAUAGCUGGUCUUAGAGGAUGAUCAGCCACACUGGAACUGAGACACGGUCCAGACUCCUACGGGAGGCAGCAGUGAGGAAUAUUGCGCAAUGGGGGAAACCCUGACGCAGCCAUGCCGCGUGAGUGACGAAGGCCUUAGGGUUGUAAAGCUCUUUCAGAUGUAAAGAUAAUGACGGUAACAUCAGAAGAAGCUCCGGCUAAAUUCGUGCCAGCCGCCGCCGUAA